ACAGGAGCAGAGAGGAAGGAUCAUGGGCGAGCACAGGGCAGUGAGCAAGCCCAGGAGGAGGACAAUCUGCAGAGCAUAAGGUCGCUCUCAGCUCCAGUUCAAGUGAGAGGGAUGAAGAGGAGAUAUGUGGCAGGUCUGUGCUGUGCUGUGAUCCCAGCCCAGGCUGAUGCCCGGGGCAGCUUGGCUGGCACCACUCAUGCAACGAGCACCGCUGCCAGCGCAUCCCCGAGCCUGUUACUGGGGGACUGGAUGCACCGUCAGCUGGAUCCUGCUAACGGUGGAGACCCGUAUAAAGCGAGGCAAAACUGAGCUUCCCUCUGCAAAGCGAAGCAGCUGGUUCAACUAAUUAAAUGUUAAAAAUUCCAGCAAGACGAGCGUACCAGAAAACAAACAGGCUCGGCAGCCAGGACGGGAAGACUUGGAAAGGAUCCGCGCGCUUCCCUGCCUCUCCCAUAUGUGUCUGCGUAGACGCUGGCACCUGUGCAGCCAUGUGUUCACACGCCGUGUUUACGGGCUCCAGCGAGCCUGUUUCCAUAUGGAUCUGUGCAGGUCAGAGCUGCGGGGCUCUGCACCCCCACGCCACUCGUGCCUGCGGUCCCCUGCGUGCCUGGCAGAGAGCUCUGUGUGUCCCUGCCGGGAGGCAGCUCCAUCGCUCCUUAGGCACAUCUAACUGGAAGGGCCGGAGCUCUCUCUGCAAACAACAAGCUCACAAUGUGCAGGAGAUAAAGAGAAGGGACGGAGGGCAUCGGAGGAGUGACAGCGCUCGAGCGCCUUGCCACUGGCAGUGGCAAACAUCCAGGUAUGAGUACGGAGCCAGGAGGUGAUUUACGGUCACACGCUGAUGCAGUUCUGCUCACAAACACGCUAACUCCCACCAGGAAGAAGCGCUAAUGAACGUUCCAGCAGCUCCUCUGCUGCCUGUCGCAUGUGAAGAUGCUGCUGAGCAUCACUGGACGCUGCAGUCAGAGCAUAGGUUGGGACCAGCAAUCUGUGAUGGUGAGAGCUGUUUCCCCAACCCAGGGAGCCCUGUGUUUGACAGCAGACACUUAAGCACCUUCUCCUGGGAGCACAGGUGCACUGGAGAGGAGCAGGGCAUGGGGCAUGGCUCAAAGGACACGCAUCACGCAGCAAAACCAGCUCAAAGCAGGCGUGGUGCAGCUCACAGCCUCAACAUCUGAAUUCCAGGCAAGCUUGGAGCUGGCACUGCAGUUAUGUGCGAGGCUGCUGCAGCCUCUCCUGCCUCUGCCAGCGGAGAGGAGCAGCGCAGCUGUGCUUACUGCUGCUCCGAGGUAUAUUUAGUCUCUAAUGACAGCACGGGGCAGUUUGAUACAAACGUAGGGAUGCUGCGACUGCAUUUGGACAGUCGCUCAGGUAAGCGGUUGCAGCACCUUCCUUUCAAAUGCCCAACUCAGGCACAGCUGUCCUAGGAGCGCAGCUGAGGUUUCUCUUAGCAAUGCUCUGCCCGUAGGAGAUGCCCUCAAAGGUUAGGUUUCUCCAGGCUGUCAGCAGAAGCAAUACCAUGCGAGCGAGCACCUAACAGGAGGCAGGAAGGAGCCAGCAUUGCGAUGCUCAGGGUGUCGGGCGCUCGCUGCCAGCCGGCUGAACGAGCUCCAGGCCACGGCAGCAGCUCCCCUGCAUAAUUUCACAGGACCAAUACCUUUGUGAGCAGCACAAGCUGCUCGUGGGCAAAGAAUCAAAAUUCAUAGAAUAAAUUACACGCACUAAAUUAUUUGCCCAGCUUUGUUGAUUAUCUGCAGUUAAAAAGUUGGAGAGAGCUGAGCUCCUCCAUGCAUAAACACCAGGCAGAUACCUGUCAUUAGGAGGUGCCAGGCUCUGGAAAGAGGAGAGGAGAAAUUCCAGCCCCUGCUCCCCUCAGGCGGCCCCGGGGUCAGGGUGGGCACAGCCCCAUCAUCAGGCCAAUGUAGUAACGGCACGGCAGGGAUUACUCCGGUGUUACUUGGCCUGCUGCAGCUUGAUGGUGAUGCUCCUAGGCGUGAGAGGGAUUUGCUGUUUGCUAACGGAAUUAAACGGGGUUUAUGAUGUUAUCUGUAUGUUAUAGAGCAUUUAAUGGCAUAAAUACAGUUCGGUGUGAGCAUCGGAGC